UGACUCGAUGAUGACGAGCUCAUGACAUACAUCCUUAAUGGGCUUAACCAAGACUUCAAUCUUGUAGUCUCUAUCCUUGUUGCAAGGACAGAGCCUACCACUAUAAGUUAUGUCUACUCUCAGCUUCUUGCUUUUGAGA
rnacentral:snoRNA from 1 species